GCCUGGUUCGUACAACGGUUAGUACAUCGCUUUAACACGGCGAAAACAUGAGUUCGACUCUCAUACCAGGUAC
rnacentral:tRNA from 1 species